rnacentral:misc_RNA from 1 species
GAUGAAGAACGUAGCAAAAUGCGAUAAGUAAUGUGAAUUGCAGAAUUCAGUGAAUCAUCGAAUCUUUGAACGCACAUUGCGCCCGCUGGUAUUCCGGCGGGCAUGCCUGUUCGAGCGUCAUUUCAACCCUCAAGCCCCCGGGUUUGGUGUUGGGGAUCGGCUCUGCCUUCUGGCGGUGCCGCCCCCGAAAUACAUUGGCGGUCUCGCUGUAGCCCUCCUCCGCGUAGUAGCACAACCUCGCGGCCUGGAGCUCGGCGGUGGCCAUGCCGUAAAACACCCCACUUCUGAAAGUUGACCUCGGAUCAGGUAGGAAUACCCGCUGAACUUAAGCAUAUCAAUAAGCGGAGGA